rnacentral:telomerase_RNA from 1 species
ACGGGGGUGUUGGGCUGGGAUUGUACGUGCAUUGAAUAACCCUAAACCAUUUGAUUAAUUGAGAUUAAUCUUUCCUGAGGGGUUGUUUGCCUGGUGUUUAUCCCCAUUAAAAUUAAAAUCAAACACCAAUGCCUGAGCGCGUGCAAUUCUCAGGGUUGUUAACUACCCUAGAGUGGUUUAUAGGUGGUGCUACUGGCAUGUGGACACAUGUUCGGUGGUCACUGGUUUCCUCGUCACUCUAGCACCCCAUUUUCUA